GUGAGGAGAAGGAAGAGGCUGAAGGCUGGGCUUCUGGUGCCUCUGGGGUCCAGCCACAGCCCCCAGUGCCACCCAGGUCCACUAGUGCCAACAGCUCACUAUCUCCCCAG
rnacentral:miRNA from 14 species